rfam:Treponema sp. GWC1_61_84 gwc1_scaffold_86, whole genome shotgun sequence.
CUAUUCCUGCCGCGAGACAGGGAAACGGACAGCCAGAAGUCAGCAAAAGCCAUAGUAGGUUCAAUCAACGGGACCGAAGGGC